AUCAAAAUUGUCAUUGUAACAAAACAUUUUCUUAAACCAAACAUCUAGUAUGCAUUUUAAGUUCAUUUGAAUGGUUUUUCCCACAGCUUGAUGGAGUUGACUCUUGACCAAUAACAGUUAAAAACUCUACAAUAUAAGAUAGUGGAAGUCUUACUAGGUUCAAGGCAUUGAGGAAACAAGAGGGAUCUAUAUGGUAGUGAGCCAGGACAGCCUCAAGAGACCUGGAUUUGAGUUCUGAUACUGCUGAUGACCUGCAUUAUAGAUACGAAAUUUAAAGAUGAAGGACAAGGCAUUGCCAAGCACAGUGGAACAGAAGAUUUGCUCUCGUGUGUGAGGGACGGUCAGGAAGAACAAGCUCUUCUCACAGUUUCUGUGAUACUGGCUCAUUGUGGCUUCUGUGAAUACGGGGGAAAUUCCUGGCAUAUUCCUGGACCAAG